AAAAAGUAACGAAUGAGAAUAGUGUUACCGGCUGCUGAUUCCUGAAAACUACAUUGGAUGUUAUCACGGAUAUUGUAUGUAGCAGUAGUCAUCACAUUUCAAACUUGCGGAACUGAUUAGUCAAAGAAAUUGAACAUCUUUGAAAGAUGAUUUAGACGCUGAUUACGGUGAAUUUACCACACCGGCUGAAAAAGGGAAACAUCAUUUCGAGACACUUCAAAAGUAUCGACAUGCCUGAUGAAAUGGAUAUCUCGGAGUUGAAUUGCUUUUGAUGGAGCCUGACAUAGGGUUAUAAACAAGUGAAUAGCUCACUUGUAUAUGUGACGAUGAAAAUGUACUAUUCCAAAACCAAUGAAGAACUUGAGGUCUUCCAACAGAUGAGGUGUGUGGCAAAGCGGCAGCACAAGUCUACGGGGUCUGACGAUGGGCGUAGUAAGCCAUUGUUGUAGGAUAAGUCCUGGAACCGGAUAAUCAAGAUUAUCCGUCAAUCACCGCUAAAGAGU